AUUGAACGCUGGCGGCAUGCCUUACACAUGCAAGUCGAACGGUAGCAUGUCCUUCGGGAUGAUGACGAGUGGCGAACGGGUGAGUAAUAUGUAGGAAGAUACCUAUAGGUGGGGGAUAACUACUCGAAAGAGUAGCUAAUAACGCAUAACAUCUACGGAUUAAAGCAGGGGAUCGCAAGACCAUGUGCCAAUAAAAUAGCCUACAUCCGAUUAGCUAGUUGGUAGAGUAAAAGCUUACCAAUGCAACGAUCGGUAACUGGUCUGAGAGCGAUGAUCAGUCACACUGGAACUGAGACACGGUCCAGACUCCUACGGGAGGCAGCAGUGGGGAAUGUUGGACAAUUGGCGAAAGCCUGAUCCAGCAAUGCCGCGUGGGUGAAGAAGGCCUUCGGGUUGUAAAGCCCUUUCGGAUAGAAAGAAAACUCUUACUCUAACAUAGUAAGAGAAUGACGGUACUAUCAUAAGAAGCACCGGCUAACUACGUGCCAGCAGCCGCCGUAACAC
rnacentral:rRNA from 1 species